GAUCCUGGCUCAGGAUGAACACUGGCGGCGUGCCUAACACAUGCAAGUCGAGGGGAAACGACAUCGAAAGCUUGCUUUUGAUGGGCGUCGACCGGCGCACGGGUGAGUAACGCGUAUCCAACCUGCCCAUCACUUGGGAAUAACCUUGCGAAAGUAAGACUAAUGCCCAAUGAUAUCCCACGAAGGCAUCCGAAUGGGAUUAAAGAUUUAUCGGUGAUGGAUGGGGAUGCGU
rnacentral:rRNA from 1 species